rnacentral:lncRNA from 1 species
AAGAGAACUAGAUGUUAUCUAGUGUUAUCCUGCUGAUCCCAAUUUCCUAUAGUUCUGGCACCAGAAAAUCCUGAAUGAUAGGUUUUUCUGAAGCUGCUGACAUCGGGUCAGCCCUCAACACCAUCACCUUUGGCCAUGUUCAGGAAGUACUCAAAGGUAACACUGGCAGCCAAGAGCAGGCCAAUCAAUGUCUGGCCACCACCCUAAUCCCACCUGGACAGUCACACCCCACCUCCCUAUGUGUGUUCGCACAGUGGGGGUGAUAUCAUGUGGGUCUGGCCUGUCCUGAGCAGAACCUGGUGUUGGGUUGUCAGAAACCCAGUGACCCAUCACGUUCACUCUUCAGAUCAUGGCUCAAAAGUCUGCAGAGCAGAGACAAGAGAUUGACAAAGAGGUGUUGAUGAGGGCAAUAAAAGCAAAGGUGGCUUUAUCACGG